AGAGGUAUGAUUUAAUAGUAGAAUGUAUGCUUAGCAAGCAUGAGACUCUGAGUUCAAACCCAAGUACUGCCA
rnacentral:tRNA from 1 species